rnacentral:rRNA from 1 species
UACGUAGGGUGCGAGCGUUGUCCGGAAUUAUUGGGCGUAAAGAGCUCGUAGGCGGUUUGUCGCGUCUGCUGUGAAAACCCGAGGCUCAACCUCGGGCCUGCAGUGGGUACGGGCAGACUAGAGUGCAGUAGGGGAGAUUGGAAUUCCUGGUGUAGCGGUGGAAUGCGCAGAUAUCAGGAGGAACACCAAUGGCGAAGGCAGAUCUCUGGGCCGUAACUGACGCUGAGGAGCGAAAGCAUGGGGAGCGAACAGG